GCCAUGCGAGUCGAGAGGGUUCGGCCCUCGGCAGACUGCUCAGUAACACGUGGAUAAUCUGCCCUUAGGUGGAGGAUAACCUUGGGAAACUGAGAAUAAUACUCCAUAGAUCUAAGAUGCUGGAAUGCACUUAGAUUAAAAGUUACGGCGCCUAAGGAUGAGUCUGCGGACUAUCAGGUAGUAGUCAGGGUAAGGACCUGACUAGCCUACGACGGAUACGGGUUGUGAGAGCAAUAACCCGGAGACGAUAUCUGAGACACGAUAUCGGGCCCUACGGGGCGCAGCAGGCGCGAAACCUUCACAAUGUGCGAAAGCGCGAUGAGGGAAUCCCAAGUGCUUGCACUUAAGUGUAAGCUGUUUCUCUGUUCAAAUCGCAGAGAGAGGAAGGGCUGGGUAAGACGGGUGCCAGCCGCCGCGGUAAUACCUGCAGCUCAAGUGGUGACCGCUAUUAUUGGGCCUAAAACGUUCGUAGCCGGCUGAGUAAAUGCUUGGGUAAAUCGUGCCGCUUAACGGUACGAAUUCCGGGUAGACUACUCAGCUUGAGACCGGGAGAAGCUAGAGGUACUCCUGGGGUAGAGGUGAAAUUCUGUAAUCCUGGGGGGACCACCAGUGGCGAAGGCGUCUAGUUAGAACGGGUCUGACGGUGAGGGACGAAACCCUGGGGCGCAAACCGGAUUAGAUACCCGGGUAGUCCAGGGUGCAAACGCUGCUUGCUUGAUGUUAGCUGGGCUCCGGGCUCAGCUAGUGUCGGAGAGAAGUUGUUAAGCAAGCUGCCUGGGAAGUACGAUCGCAAGAUUGAAACUUAA
rnacentral:rRNA from 1 species